CUCUCCAUCUGUUGAUGACCCCAUGACCCCAGAGAGUGAUGUCACCUCUGAUGUCACUUCUCUGGCGGACCCAUCCCGUGAGAUGACACCUGAGAAUGUAGAGGUGUCCUCUCUAGAGGACUUCCUGAAGUCUCACCCCCAGAGAAAGCUCAUCAGGAAGUUCCUCAAACAAAAGAGGACCUGGAAAACAUGUCCUAUGUGGUCCUCCUGCCAGUGAUAGCUCUGCUCAGGAUCUCCAGUCCAGAGUCACUCCACUCCU